AUCUUCCACAAUGGGCGCAAGCCUGAUGGAGCAACGCCGCGUGUGUGAUGAAGGCUUUCGGGUCGUAAAGCACUGUUGUAUGGGAAGAAAUGCUAGAAUAGGGAAUGAUUCUAGUUCGACGGUACCAUACCAGAAAGGGACGGCUAAAUACGUGCCAGCAGCCGCGGUAAUACGUAUGUCCCGAGCGUUAUCCGGAUUUAUUGGGCGUAAAGCGAGCGCAGACGGUUGAUUAAGUCUGAUGUGAAAGCCCGGAGCUCAACUCCGGAAUGGCAUUGGAAACUGGUUAACUUGAGUGUUGUAGAGGUAAGUGGAACUCCAUGUGUAGCGGUGGAAUGCGUAGAUAUAUGGAAGAACACCAGUGGCGAAGGCGGCUUACUGGACAACAACUGACGUUGAGGCUCGAAAGUGUGGGUAGCAAACAGGA
rnacentral:rRNA from 1 species